UACGGGAGGCAGCAGUGGGGAAUAUUGCACAAUGGGCGCAAGCCUGAUGCAGCCAUGCCGCGUGUAUGAAGAAGGCCUUCGGGUUGUAAAGUACUUUCAGUCGUGAGGAAGGUGUUAAGGUUAAUAACCUUAGCAAUUGACGUUAGCGACAGAAGAAGCACCGGCUAACUCCGUGCCAGCAGCCGCGGUAAUACGGAGGGUGCGAGCGUUAAUCGGAAUUACUGGGCGUAAAGGGCACGCAGGCGGUUAAUUAAGUUGGAUGUGAAAUCCCCGGGCUUAACCUGGGAAUGGCAUUCAAGACUGGUUAGCUAGAGUCUUGUAGAGGGGGUUAGAAUUCCAUGUGUAGCGGUGAAACUGCGUAGAGAUGUGGAGGAAUACCGGUGGCGAAGGCGGCCCCUGGGACAAAGACUGACGCUCAUGUGCGAAAGCUGGGGA
rnacentral:rRNA from 1 species